AAAAUGCCUAAACUUUACAAAUACCCUCCGGGUAGUAUCAAACACAGAUUCUCUACCAUUAGGUGGUGUAAGGCAGUUGCUGAUUUAACUGACAUCCGGAAGUCAUAUGUUACGAAAUAUGAGCUUGAUCAUCUCCUGAACAUUCACCCUCAUUUAAUGAUUCCAAUUCCAGUACUGCAAUGGGUUGCGAACCACUUAAAUUGUAAUGGAACAGGAGUUUUCAGGAAGGGUCAAAAGAUAAUUCAUCUGAGAAGGGAAAUGGUAAUUCAAGUUUUUGGUAUUCGUUCUAGUUCCGUGCCUUUUCCUAUGGACAGCACAGAUCAAGUUAUCGUGGCUAGAGUAUUGGAACUUAGGUCUGAGUAUCUUGGUGCUGGGGAGAAGAACAUUUCAUUUGAUAACAUAAUCACCAAGAUGAAAAAUGAUGAGACUGAGGAAGGCUUCAUACGGAGCUUCAUGUUUCUGUUCAUAACAUCUGUUUUAUGUCCAACCACUCGGAACUAUGCAAACUGGAAACUUCUUUAUGGGCUGGAUGACAUUACCAAGCUGAAGACCUUUGAUUUGGCUCAGUUGUGCAUUGAUCACCUGAACAAUGAAAUUGAUAACUUCAGCACUAAACUCUUCAAUAGAGCUGAAGUUCCAUUGAAUGAUUCAAUCUAUGUUGGUGGAUGUUUACCGUUGGCUGCUAUUGUGUAUCUGGACUUUGUAGACUUCACAAAAGCUUCUAAACAACGAAACAUCAAUUAUGGAGUCCCUAGAAUUGCACAUGUUCAGAAUGAAGACUUUGACUAUCUAGCUACAGUGAAUCUGAACAGAGCUUCCAAGAAGAGUUUUGCAUUGGGUUUCUUACCAUUGAAAGACAUCUCUACGACACCUUAUAGUGCUCGUGCAAUUGUAUUGGCUGAGGAGAAGUGGUCCAAAGCGCCAGAGUCUUUUCAUAAUGAUGAAAAUGACAUUCCAAACCAAAAUGACAGAGAAAAUGUUGCAUCUACUUCGAACAACAAUCCAGAA
rnacentral:rRNA from 1 species